rnacentral:rRNA from 1 species
UUACGGUCAAAUCACGCUGAAAACACCGGUUCUCGUUCGAUCACCGAAGUUAAGCAUCGUAGAGCCAGGUCAGUACUUUAGAUGGGGACCGCUUGGGAAACACCUGGUACUGUAAG